rnacentral:sRNA from 1 species
UUAACAGUGUUGGAAGCUGAACUCUGUCCACACAAUAGGUAAGUCAGUGAGAUUUCCCACAAUGCCUUGCCAAUGUGCCUCAUCACAUUGCAGUGAGAGGGUAAUUUGGUAUCCAUAACCAUUCAGUCCUUGGCCUCU